UAGGGAAUCUUCCACAAUGGACGCAAGUCUGAUGGAGCAACGCCGCGUGAGUGAAGAAGGUUUUCGGACCGUAAAGCUCUGUUGUUGGUGAAGAAGGAUAGAGGUAGUAACUGGCCUUUAUUUGACGGUAAUCAACCAGAAAGUCACGGCUAACUACGUGCCAGCAGCCGCGGUAAUCGUAGGUGGCAAGCGUUGUCCGGAUUUAUUGGGCGUAAAGCGAGCGCAGGCGGAAGAAUAAGUCUGAUGUGAAAGCCCUCGGCUUAACCGAGGAAUUGCAUCGGAAACUGUUUUUCUUGAGUGCAGAAGAGGAGAGUAGAACUCCAUGUGUAGCGGUGGAAUGCGUAGAUAUAUGGAAGAAUACCAGUGGCGAAGGCGGCUCUCUGGUCUGCAACUGACGCUGAGGCUCGAAAGCAUGGGUAGCGAACAGGAUUAGAUACCCUGGUAGUCCAUGCCGUAAACGAUGAGUGCUAAGUGUUGGGAGGCUUCCGCCUCUCAGUGCUGCAGCUAACGCAUUAAGCACUCCGCCUGGGGGAGUACGACCGCAAGGUU
rnacentral:rRNA from 1 species